AAUAGAUACCCGGGUAGUCCUAGCCGUAAACGAUGAACACUAGGCGUAGUCGGUAUCGACCCCGGCUGUGCCGUAGCUAACGCAUUAAGUGUUCCGCCUGGGGAGUACAGCCGCAAGGCUAAAACUCAAAGGAAUUGACGGGGGCCCGCACAAGCAGCGGAGCGUGUGGUUUAAUUCGUCGCAACGCGAAGAACCUUACCAGGGCUUGACAUGUGGCGGAAAACGGCGGAAACGUCGUCCUCCCGCAAGGGACCGUCAUGCAGGUGUUGCAUGGCCGUCGUCAGCUCGUGUCGUGAGAUGUUGGGUUAAGUCCCGCAACGAGCGCAACCCCCGUGGCAUGUUGUAUCUCUCAUGCCAGACUGCCGAGAGAAACUCGGAGGAAGGUGGGGAUGACGCCAAGUCAGCAUGGCCCUUACGUCCUGGGCUACACACACGGCUACAAUGGCCGGUACAACGGGUUGCCAAACCGGCGAGGUGGAGCUAAUCCCUUAAAGCCGGUCUCAGUUCGGAUUGCAGGCUGCAACUCGCUGCAUGAAGCC
rnacentral:rRNA from 1 species